rnacentral:rRNA from 1 species
UACGGGGGGAGCAAGCGUUGUUCGGAUUUACUGGGCGUAAAGGGCGCGUAGGCGGCGCAACAAGUCACUUGUGAAAUCUCCGGGCUUAACCCGGAGCGGUCAAGUGAUACUGUCGUGCUAGAGUGCGGAAGGGGCUACUGGAAUUCUCGGUGUAGCGGUGAAAUGCGUAGAUAUCGAGAGGAACACCUGCGGCGAAGGCGGGUAGCUGGGCCGACACUGACGCUGAUGCGCGAAAGCCAGGGGAGCAAACAGG